rnacentral:rRNA from 1 species
GACGAACGCUGGCGGCGUGCUUAACACAUGCAAGUCGAACGGAAAGGCCCCUUCGGGGGUGCUCGAGUGGCGAACGGGUGAGUAACACGUGGGUGAUCUGCCCUGCACUUUGGGAUAAGCCUGGGAAACUGGGUCUAAUACCGGAUAGGACUCCGAGAUGCAUGUCUUGGGGUGGAAAGCUUUUGCGGAGUGGGAUGGGCCCGCGGCCUAUCAGCUUGUUGGUGGGGUGAUGGCCUACCAAGGCGACGACGGGUAGCCGGCCUGAGAGGGUGUCCGGCCACACUGGGACUGAGAUACGGCCCAGACUCCUACGGGAGGCAGCAGUGGGGAAUAUUGCACAAUGGGCGCAAGCCUGAUGCAGCGACGCCGCGUGAGGGAUGACGGCCUUCGGGUUGUAAACCUCUUUCACUAGGGACGAAGCGCGAGUGACGGUACCUAGAGAAGAAGCACCGGCCAACUACGUGCCAGCCGCCGCCGUAA